UACGUAGGGUGCAAACGUUGUCCGGAAUUAUUGGGCGUAAAGAGCUCGUAGGCGGUUUGUCGCGUCGAAUGUGAAAACCCGGGGCUCAACCCCGGGCCUGCAUUCGAUACGGGCAGACUAGAGUUCGGUAGGGGAGUCUGGAAUUCCUGGUGUAGCGGUGAAAUGCGCAGAUAUCAGGAGGAACACCGGUGGCGAAGGCGGGACUCUGGGCCGAUACUGACGCUGAGGAGCGAAAGCGUGGGGAGCAAACAGG
rnacentral:rRNA from 1 species